rnacentral:rRNA from 1 species
CCUACGGGAGGCAGCAGUGGGGAAUAUUGCACAAUGGAGGGAACUCUGAUGCAGCGACGCCGCGUGAGUGAAGAAGUAAUUCGUUAUGUAAAGCGCUAUCAGAAGGGAAGAAAGUGACGGUAACUGAAAAAGAAGCUCCGGCCAAAUACGUGCCAGAAGCCGCGGUAAUACGUAUGGCGCAAACGUUAGCCGGAUUUACUGGGGGUAAAGGGAGAGGGGGUGGCAGAGCAAGUCCGAAGUGAAAACCCAAAGCUCAACUAUGGGAAUGCUUUAGAGACUGCUCAGCUAGAGUGCAGGAGAGGCAAGUGGAAUUCUAAGUGAAGCGGUGAAAUGCGUAGAUAUAAGGAGGAACACCAGUGGCGAAGGCAGCUUGCUGGACUGUAACUGACACUGAGGGUCGAAAGCGUGGGGAGCAAACAGGAUUAGAUACCCCAGUAGUC